rnacentral:piRNA from 1 species
UACCAAAUGUCACAAUGGUGGCUUCUAUGG